GUGAAUCAUCAAAUUUUUGAACGCAAAUUGCGCUUCCUGGUAUCCCGGGAAGUAUGCCUGUUUGAGGGUCAGUAUUAACAAAAAAUCGGUUUGGUUGCAAAUUGUGACGUUUCCGGAGUUUGGGCUAUCUUAACUUUUUUGGUUAAGUGGCUUAAAAUUGACCUUUUUUGCGCAUUUUUAGACGUACAUAAAUUUUUUUUUUUUUGGUUAUUUUUUAUUCCCAAAUCUUUUUUGGUUGG
rnacentral:misc_RNA from 1 species